rnacentral:rRNA from 1 species
CACGUAGGCGCAAGCGUUGUCCGGAAUUAUUGGGCGUAAGAGCUCGUAGGCGGUCUGUGCGUCCGCUGUGAAAACUCGGGCUUAACCCCGGGCCUGCAGUGGAUACGGGCAGACUAGAGGUAGGUAGGGGAGAAUGGAAUUCCCGGUGUAGCGGUGAAAUGCGCAGAUAUCGGGAGGAACACCGGUGGCGAAGGCGGUUCUCUGGGCCUUACCUGACGCUGAGGAGCGAAAGCGUGGGGAGCGAACAGGAUUAGAAACCCUAGG